AUGAACGCUAGCUACAGGCUUAACACAUGCAAGUCGCGGGGCAGCAUGGGGGUUGCUUGCAAUCCCCGAUGGCGACCGGCGCACGGGUGAGUAACGCGUACCCAACCUGCCCUUCACCACGGGAUAACCCGGCGAAAGUCGGACUAAUACCGUAUGUUGUCCAUUGACGGCAUCCGAUUUGGACGAAAGGUUUGGCGGUGAAGGAUGGGGAUGCGUCCGAUUAGCUGGACGGCGGGGUGACGGCCCACCGUGGCGACGAUCGGUAGGGGUUCUGAGAGGAAGGUCCCCCACACUGGAACUGAGACACGGUCCAGACUCCUACGGGAGGCAGCAGUGAGGAAUAGUGGUCAAUGGGCGUAAGCCUGAACCAGCCAAGUAGCGUGCAGGAUGACGGCCCUAUGGGUUGUAAACUGCUUUUAUGCGGGGAUAAAGUGGCCCACGUGUGGGUUUUUGCAGGUACCGCAUGAAUAAGGACCGGCUAAUUCCGUG
rnacentral:rRNA from 1 species